GGGUGUGUAGCUCAGUGGUAGAGUGCUUGCCUGGCCUGCGCAAGGCCCUGGGUUUGAUCCCCAGCCCUUUCU
rnacentral:tRNA from 1 species